GGAUUGGUGCUCGUUGAAUACCUGCUAAGCGGGCCAGUUCUCUUGCUGUUGGUAUGUAAUAUUGCUGAAAUAAUCACAAUUAACCAUUGAUCAGAAUCAACAGGGGCCAACCAGGGCUCAUGGAGGGGGUAGAGAGAUAGAGAUUGCCGUUACUGGAAUGAAGAUGACAAAUACUUCCCAUGCCACCUGCGACAUCACUGCAAUAGUUCCUAGAAGUUGUAUUAUUGAGAAAGCACACCAACCUACUCUUCCUGCCAAUUCCAAGUCCAGCACACUCUGAUCUGUAGAUGCCUGCAAGUAAUUUAACUUAAGGCUGUCAGUCUUCUUGAAAUAUAUUGUUUUGGACUUAUACAAUAUGUAGGCUGUGACUAAUAGGUUUUUUUGUUAUUUACCAGUUUACAAGGUGGGGAAGCAAGAGCUUUCCUCUUUAGUCUGUUCUCUCUCGGAAGCAAAAACUUGCUGUAUAUAACCCUUACAAAAUUUUAAUUGCAAAAAUUACUUUGUUUUUU